AGCGUGAAUAAGGAUACACUAUAUCCCACUUUUGAAAUGGCUUUCAGUAUGGGGAAAUACUUCUGUAAGAACAGUAAAGGGAAAACGAUUCACAUAUCUAAUUUUAUUAAAAUUAAAAUAGUAAGACAGACGAUUCACACCUGAGUAUCGAAUCCUACGAUGUAAUCAGGACAAGAAUGAACGGCCAUUUCACCUGAUGGAGUAGAAGGCCAACAAAUUAUUGCAUCCCAAAUCUCAGGGCACCAUCCUAAACGCAAACAGAAAAGCUUUAGAACGAACAAACGAUGAUUAUACGAUUACAAUUAAUGUUUAUUAACUGGAAAUAAAGG